rnacentral:rRNA from 1 species
GACAGAGGGGGCAAGCGUUGCUCGGAAUCACUGGGCGUAAAGGGCGCGUAGGCGGGAUGGCAAGUCAGUCGUGAAAUCUCUCGGCUCAACCGAGAAACGUCGGCUGAUACUGCCGUUCUUGAGGGAUGCAGAGGAGACUGGAAUUCCAGGUGUAGCGGUGAAAUGCGUAGAUAUCUGGAGGAACACCGGUGGCGAAGGCGGCGUUCUGGACUGCAACUGACACUGAGGAACGAAAGCCAGGGGAGCAAACGGG